ACACAUGGCAAGUCGAGCGGUAGCACAGAGAGCUUGCUCUCGGGUGACGAGCGGCGGACGGGUGAGUAAUGUCUGGGAAACUGCCUGAUGGAGGGGGAUAACUACUGGAAACGGUAGCUAAUACCGCAUAACGUCGCAAGACCAAAGUGGGGGACCUUCGGGCCUCAUGCCAUCAGAUGUGCCCAGAUGGGAUUAGCUAGUAGGUGGGGUAACGGCUCACCUAGGCGACGAUCCCUAGCUGGUCUGAGAGGAUGACCAGCCACACUGGAACUGAGACACGGUCCAGACUCCUACGGGAGGCAGCAGUGGGGAAUAUUGCACAAUGGGCGCAAGCCUGAUGCAGCCAUGCCGCGUGUGUGAAGAAGGCCUUCGGGUUGUAAAGCACUUUCAGCGGGGAGGAAGGCGGUGAGGUUAAUAACCUUAUCGAUUGACGUUACCCGCAGAAGAAGCACCGGCUAACUCCGUGCCAGCAGCCGCGGUAAUACGGAGGGUGCAAGCGUUAAUCGGAAUUACUGGGCGUAAAGCGCACGCAGGCGGUCUGUCAAGUCGGAUGUGAAAUCCCCGGGCUCAACCUGGGAACUGCAUUCGAAACUGGCAGGCUAGAGUCUUGUAGAGGGGGGUAGAAUUCCAGGUGUAGCGGUGAAAUGCGUAGAGAUCUGGAGGAAUACCGGUGGCGAAGGCGGCCCCCUGGACAAAGACUGACGCUCAGGUGCGAAAGCGUGGGGAGCAAACAGGAUUAGAUACCCUGGUAGUCCACGCCGUAAACGAUGUCGAUUUGGAGGUUGUGCCCUUGAGGCGUGGCUUCCGGAGCUAACGCGUUAAAUCGACCGCCUGGGGAGUACGGCCGCAAGGUUAAAACUCAAAUGAAUUGACGGGGGCCCGCACAAGCGGUGGAGCAUGUGGUUUAAUUCGAUGCAACGCGAAGAACCUUACCUGGUCUUGACAUCCACAGAACUUUCCAGAGAUGGAUUGGUGCCUUCGGGAACUGUGAGACAGGUGCUGCAUGGCUGUCGUCAGCUCGUGUUGUGAAAUGUUGGGUUAAGUCCCGCAACGAGCGCAACCCUUAUCCUUUGUUGCCAGCGGUCCGGCCGGGAACUCAAAGGAGACUGCCAGUGAUAAACUGGAGGAAGGUGGGGAUGACGUCAAGUCAUCAUGGCCCUUACGACCAGGGCUACACACGUGCUACAAUGGCAUAUACAAAGAGAAGCGACCUCGCGAGAGCAAGCGGACCUCAUAAAGUAUGUCGUAGUCCGGAUUGGAGUCUGCAACUCGACUCCAUGAAGUCGGAAUCGCUAGUAAUCGUAGAUCAGAAUGCUACGGUGAAUACGUUCCCGGGCCUUGUACACACCGCCCGUCACACCAUGGGAGUGGGUUGCAAAAGAAGUAGGUAGCUUAACCUUCGGGAGGGCGCUUACCACUUUGUUCG
rnacentral:rRNA from 1 species